AGUGAACGCUGGCGGUAGGCCUAACACAUGCAAGUCGAACGGCAGCACAGUAAGAGCUUGCUCUUACGGGUGGCGAGUGGCGGACGGGUGAGGAAUACAUCGGAAUCUACUUUUUCGUGGGGGAUAACGUAGGGAAGCUUACGCUAAUACCGCAUACGACCUACGGGUGAAAGCAGGGGAUCUUCGGACCUUGCGCGAUUGAAUGAGCCGAUGUCGGAUUAGCUAGUUGGUGGGGUAAAGGCCCACCAAGGCGACGAUCCGUAGCUGGUCUGAGAGGAUGAUCAGCCACACUGGAACUGAGACACGGUCCAGACUCCUACGGGAGGCAGCAGUGGGGAAUAUUGGACAAUGGGCGCAAGCCUGAUCCAGCCAUACCGCGUGGGUGAAGAAGGCCUUCGGGUUGUAAAGCCCUUUUGUUGGGAAAGAAAAGCAGCAGGUUAAUACCCCGCUGUUCUGACGGUACCCAAAGAAUAAGCACCGGCUAACUUCGUG
rnacentral:rRNA from 1 species